AGUGAACGCUGGCGGCAGGCCUAACACAUGCAAGUCGAGCGGCAGCGGGUCCCCGCGAGGGGAUGCCGGCGAGCGGCGGACGGGUGAGGAACACAUCGGAAUCUGCCUGGUUGUGGGGGAUAACGUAGGGAAACUUACGCUAAUACCGCAUGCGACCCUGAGUCGACGGACUUGGGGUGAAAGUGAGGGACCUUCGGGCCUCACGCGACCAGAUGAGCCGAUGUCGGAUUAGCUAGUUGCGGGGUAACGGCCCGCCAAGGCGACGAUCCGUAGCUGGUCUGAGAGGAUGAUCAGCCACACUGGGACUGAGACACGGCCCAGACUCCUACGGGAGGCAGCAGUGGGGAAUCUUGGACAAUGGGCGCAAGCCUGAUCCAGCCAUG
rnacentral:rRNA from 1 species